GGUGGGCCCAUAGCUCAGUGGGAGAGUGCCUCCUUUGCAAGGAGGAUGCCUGGGUUCAAAUCCCAGUGGGUCCAU
rnacentral:tRNA from 1 species